rnacentral:rRNA from 1 species
GAUGAACGCUAGCUACAGGCUUAACACAUGCAAGUCGCGGGGCAGCAUGGGGGUUGCUUGCAAUCCCCGAUGGCGACCGGCGCACGGGUGAGUAACGCGUAUCCAACCUGCCCUUCACCACGGGAUAACCCGGCGAAAGUCGGACUAAUACCGUAUGUUGUCCAUUGACGGCAUCCGAUUUGGACGAAAGGUUUGGCGGUGAAGGAUGGGGAUGCGUCCGAUUGGCUGGACGGCGGGGUGACGGCCCACCGUGGCGACGAUCGGUAGGGGUUCUGAGAGGAAGGUCCCCCACACUGGAACUGAGACACGGUCCAGACUCCUACGGGAGGCAGCAGUGAGGAAUAUUGGGCAAUGGGCGUAAGCCUGAACCAGCCAAGUAGCGUGCAGGAUGACGGCCCUAUGGGUUGUAAACUGCUUUUAUGCGGGGAUAAAGUGGCCCACGUGUGGGUUUUUGCAGGUACCGCAUGAAUAAGGACCGGCUAAUUCCGUG